GGUAUAUAGCUCAGUUGGUAGAGUGCUUGCCUCACAUGCAUAAGGUCCUGGGUUCAAUCCCCAAUACCA
rnacentral:tRNA from 1 species